rnacentral:rRNA from 1 species
GACGUAGGGCGCGAGCGUUGUCCGGAUUUAUUGGGCGUAAAGAGCUCGUAGGCGGUUUGUCGCGUCGACUGUGAAAACCCACGGCUCAACCGUGGGCUUGCAGUCGAUACGGGCAGACUGGAGUACUGCAGGGGAGACUGGAAUUCCUGGUGUAGCGGUGGAAUGCGCAGAUAUCAGGAGGAACACCGGUGGCGAAGGCGGGUCUCUGGGCAGUAACUGACGCUGAGGAGCGAAAGCGUGGGGAGCGAACAGG